GUGAGACAGUUCGGUCUCUAUCCGCCGUGCGCGUUGAAACUUGAGAAAGGCUGUCCCUAGUACGAGAGGACCGGGACGGACAUACCUCUGGUGGGCCAGUUGUCACGCCCGUGGCAUGGCUGGUUGGCUACGUAUGGAAGGGAUAACCGCUGAAAGCAUCUAAGCGGGAAGCCUGUUUCGAGAUGAGGUUUCUUUUGAGGUUCCCUAUAGAUUAUGGGGUUGAUAGGCCGGAUCUGGAAGCGCAGUGAUGUGUGGAGGUGACCGGUACUAAUAUACCGAUGUACAACAUCAC
rnacentral:rRNA from 1 species